rnacentral:lncRNA from 1 species
AUAGGGUUUUUCAUACUCUUUCUCUUCUACACCUCAAAAGCCCUUAAAGGUCUUUCCUUGGUAUAUUUUCUCACUAGCUGGACGGGUGGAGAGAGAGAGGGAGAUUGUCCACAAUAGCUUGGAAGCUUUUAAAAAGGAAUUCAACUACAAAAACCCCAAGGUUCUAACAAGACCUCGCAUGUCCAUUUGGAGCAUUAGUUGAGGUUAGAGUCAAGCAAAAGAAUCAACAAGACCAGUGAGUGAACUUGCAUCAAAGUGUUUUUGGGAAAUGCAUAUGUGUUGGGAUGAAGCAUUUAAAUGAUUUUACUUAGUUUUCAUUAAAUUAUGCAUGGGAGCAAGCCCUUGAUAAAAUGUUUUGAUGUUGUGAAAUGUGUAAAAAGAUGAAUCCAUGUGCUCUUAUAUUAUGUUGGUAUGUAUAUAUAUGAAUAUGUGUUGUGCAUUGAUGAAUAAUGUUGUGUGAUAAUGAUGACUCAACUAUGUGCGAUGUGGGAGUGCACAUGAGCUGAUGAUGGCCUGACUAUGUACGAGUAGGGAGUGCGCAUAAGCCGAUGAUGACUCGGCCAUGUGCGAGUAGGGGGUGCGCAUAAGCCGAUGAUGAUGAGCCAGCUAUGACGAUGAAUGAAGUGGGGUGGUUUACGUGUUUAUAUAUGUUUAUAUAUGUAUAUGUGAUAGAAAGUUUAUGAUUAUAAUAUGUGAUUGAAAUGAAUAAUGAGAAAUUUGAUUAUUGUCAAAGUGUUCACUUUUAUGUGCAAUAUAGUAGGAAUGGAUUUUGUGGCAUGUGAAAACCCCUUAAUUCUCAUCUGCCCUGAAUCUCACUGCAGCAAGAAACUCUCGGGUGGUGGGGACACAAACCAGCCCUAUUUCUUGCUGCAGUGAGGAAUUUCGCUGUAGCGAAAUUGGAUUCUCGCUGCAGCGAAAUUGGAUUCUCGUUGUAGCGAGAAACUCUCGGGUAGACCCAAAAUUCUGGUGCAGUGCUUCCAAUUUGAUAACAAUUUUGAUCACCUUCCAGUAGGAACUUGGUAAAGUGAUAAACAACAAAGUUGUAUCCCAGCCUCUUAGCUUUCUAAUGGUCUAAAAAUAAGGUCAUUUGGACUUCUUUAGUGGGAGAUAUGAUGGAAAAACCAAAACAUAUGCAAACUAAGACUGUUUCUUGCUGCAGCGAGAAACUUGCUGUCUUACUUGCUACCUUACUUGAUUUUGGCAUAUUUUUCACCCAUUUAACUUCAUGGAUUGAUCAUGGGUUUUUACAACACUAUGAGGUUAUUAAUCAAAGUUUGAAAUGAGGGAUUUUUAGUAAGAAAUUAAAUCAAUUGCACUGUUUUUGAAACAAGUACAUCAUGAUUUCCAAGUUCUCCUUAUCGAUUGCUUGUUCCCUUCUUAUGUUCACUCACUGAGUUUUAUACUUACAUUUUUAAACUUCAUGUUUUCAAAUUCGAAGAUAGUUGGGACCUAGAUUGAGUGUCCACAUAUGCUCGUUCUCUUGGUAGGUACUAUGGCAUCUCAGUAGCUGUACCUUCGCCCACGGUCACGCUGCUGACGGUCAAGAGUCUGUUACCUGUGAACGCGUAUAUGUAAUGUAAUCUGCUAGGAUCCAUGUUAUAAGUCAAAUAUGUAUAUUUGAUUACUGAUGCCAUUAUGAGUUGGCAAAUGGGUGACAUUAUUUUGACAUAAUAAAAUGGUGAGUAUUGGGUCACUAUAAAUUGUUAUUGAAAUAUUUUUAGUUGAGAAUUACAAUAUGUAGUUUUAGAAAUGAUGGUUGGGAUUAAUAAUCGAGAUUGCUUAAAUAGGCUUACUUGGGCUUGGUGGGCUAUGCUCAUUGGGCCCAUGCGUCGGUCAUAGCCCGAAUUUAGGCUGUGAUAGUUGGGGUAUGGGAUGCAGAAGCAUAAAGGGUGAUAGCAGCAAUUGACCUUGAUUUGGUUUUCUCAAUACCAAAAGCAUUCCUACGAGAUUGAGAUUAAGAACAACCAAUGGUGGAGGCAGUUUCUCUUAAUUAGCCAAUUACUAAUUAAUAAUGACAAGACAGGCUAUAUGCCCAAGUGAAGGGAAGGCAAACAUGGGGAGGCUAAUAGGAUAAUCUGGGAAAGCAAAUGAAUGGAGACAAGCCAAUAAGGAUAGCGGUAAAGGAUCAAAAUCAGGGAAGGUUGAUUCGAUAGUUACGGUUAUGUCAUUCUGUCAAAUAGUCUAUUAUGAAUUUGUACUCUUCCUUGUUAUACUAUUUUAGCUUUGGGUUCUAUUUUUUGAUUCCUUCCUUCACUCCAAUCAAGGAUUCCGGUCUAUCCUUAACCCAGAGUUUUGCCUUAGGAAGCAAGGGUCGUAGUAGCUACUAAAUCUUCUAUUGGUACAUGGAUAACAGUGUGGACCGAUGGGCUUACCAGCCUUAAUCGUUACAAAGGGCAAUGUUACCACAUCAAGCUUGCUGCUGGAGAAUAAAAUCAAUAUAUAUGUUAAAUAUGAGUUAAGCUACUCCUUCACAAGUGUGAAACCCCUAGUUUCUGUUACUUGGAUAAAUUAGAUAAUUAACUUGGUAAGCUUAAAAAAUGCAAGGACUAGCCUAAAUUCCUUGAUUUCUAACAUUGAGAAACCAUAUAUAAAAGACUUAUAGGUUACUGGGUGGAUUAGAUUUGAUCUAGAACUCAAAAAGUUCAAAUUUUGAAAGUUGGAGGUUUGAGAGUCAACCUUUGCCCUUGAAAAAUCGACCUUAGGGAUUUCCAUUUCAAGCAGGAGCAACAUUUGGACCAGGAUCGACUACGCCUCUCCUGGUAGUCGAUCCUAGAGUAGACUCAUAGCCAUAAUCGACCCCAUAACUUGUGUAGUCGAUCCUAUAGUGCAAUAGUAGAAAAAUAAAACCUUAAAACCCUUAAAAUCCUAGCCUUUUUCAUUUCUUUCAUUCCUCAUUGUUUUUCCAUGCAUUUUCUAUCAAAUUUCUCAACCUUCAAGACCUUAAACUUCAUUAUCAAACCUUGAUCUUUAAGAAACAAAGGUAAGGAUUUCUAGUUCCUAAAUCUUUUUUAACCCUUUUUCAAAAAUGGGUUUCAAGUUUUAAUCCUUAUUUCUUUCUUUGGACCUAAAUUUUCUACCUAGGGUUUCAAGAUUUGUUAUGACCUUUGGGUAAGAGCUCAACUAGGUAAGGAAAUGGGUAAGUUGAGUUGGAUAUAUGAUGGGUAUAAGUUUUAAAACAACUAUUAGACAAAAUCUUUGGAUUUAAGCAUGGGUUGAUAGAGUUAGAAAUGAGUAUUUAUUGUACUAUGAGAUUAUUAUGGGUUUUUGAAGAUAUUAAUGAUUAAACAUCAUUUUAGGUGCUGUUGGAGCAGUUUGAGAUUUUGAAGAAGUUGAGCUUUCAAUGAAA